GUGAAUCAUCAAAUUUUUGAACGCAAAUUGCACUCUCUGGUAUUCCGGAGAGCAUGCCUGUUUGAGGGUCAGUUUAAAUAAAAACUGGUGUGGUUGCUGCCUUUCGUGGUGAUGUACCGGUUCUGGGUCGCCUUGCCUUCGGAUAAGUGACUUCACAUCCUGCAUGAUUUUUUUCGAACGCAUUCAAAUGAUUUUACGUACGUUCGCGUUAUUGAAUACUGGGUGUGGUCAUCCUCAU
rnacentral:misc_RNA from 1 species